rnacentral:rRNA from 1 species
AGUGAACGCUGGCGGUAGGCCUAACACAUGCCAGUCGAACGGCAGCACAGUAAGAGCUUGCUCUUACGGGUGGCGAGUGGCGGACGGGUGAGGAAUACAUCGGAAUCUACUUUUUCGGGGGGGAUAACGUAGGGAAACUUACGCUAAUACCGCAUACGACCUACGGGUGAAAGCAGGGGAUCUUCGGACCUUGCGCGAUUGAAUGAGCCGAUGUCGGAUUAGCUAGUUGGCGGGGUAAAGGCCCACCAAGGCGACGAUCCGUAGCUGGUCUGAGAGGAUGAUCAGCCACACUGGAACUGAGACACGGUCCAGACUCCUACGGGAGGCAGCAGUGGGGAAUAUUGGACAAUGGGCGCAAGCCUGAUCCAGCCAUACCGCGUGGGUGAAGAAGGCCUUCGGGUUGUAAAGCCCUUUUGUUGGGAAAGAAAAGCAGCAGGUUAAUACCCCGCUGUUCUGACGGUACCCAAAGAAUAAGCACCGGCUAACUUCGUG